rnacentral:rRNA from 1 species
GACGAACGCUGGCGGCGUGCUUAACACAUGCAAGUCGAACGGAAAGGCCUGCUUUCCCUUGUGGAUUGCGGGUACUCGAGUGGCGAACGGGUGAGUAACACGUGAGUGAUCUGCCCCCAACUUGGGUAUAAGCCUGGGAAACUGGGUCUAAUUCCCGAUAGGACUGCAGGGUGGUGCCUGUGGUGGAAAACGAUUUUCUAGUGGUUGGGGAUGAGCUCGCGGCCUAUCAGCUUGUUGGUGGGGGAAUGGCCUACCAAGGCGGCGACGGGUAGCCGGCCUGAGAGGGUGGACGGCCACAUUGGGACUGAGAUACGGCCCAGACUCCUACGGGAGGCAGCAGUGGGGAGUAUUGCGCAAUGGGCGGAAGCCUGAUGCAGCGACGCCGCGUGGGGGAUGACGGCCUUCGGGUUGUAAACUCCUUUCGACCGCGAGGAAGCCACCUGGUUGGAAGGGUGGUGACGGUAGUGGUAGAAGAAGCACCGGCUAACUACGUG